CCUGCCUAUAGAGGCAUUGCAGGUGUUGCUGCUGUGUCAUGUGUACAUCAUUGGAUGGCGGAGAGGAGCGAGGCUAUGUCUAUGCUCAGUGUUCAGAGCUCAGAACAGAAACUCAUAAUACCAUUCCUUA
ensembl:snoRNA